rnacentral:lncRNA from 11 species
UUUGUUCUUUCAUUCCUUUUGUUUCAGGCAGGAGCACGAAAUGGGAACCCCUCCUCUGAAAUGAAAAUAACCUUGGAACAAAAGAAAGCAGGAGCGAGUACCAUUUCCUUGCCUGCCUUUCAGCCCAUGUGACACUCCUUCCAAGACUUGCCUGUUAGGCCAGUCUAAGGAGAAGAAUGCUGUCCAACUUGCUGCUGGCCUGACUCACCCACCACCGCUCAUCUCCUCUGCAGACGGAAGGGAGAGCAUCACAGGAGGAUUGGUUCUGGUAGAGUCCUAGGAUUUUCUUAUACAAGCUUUUGGAAACUGCCUGGUUGCUGAACAGGGUUUGUGGUAAUAUGUUUAAUUUUGAUUCAAUAUUUUUAACUUAUUGUGUUUGAACUUGUAUUUGUUUUUCAUCAUGUUAUGCGCUUUCUUGGGACCCA